AGUCGAGGGGUAUAAGGAGCUUGCUCCUUAGAGACCGGCGCACGGGUGCGUAACGCGUAUGCAAUCUACCUUUCACAGAGGGAUAGCCCAGAGAAAUUUGGAUUAAUACCUCAUAGUAUAUAUGGAUGGCAUCAUUUGUAUAUUAAAGUCACAACGGUGAAAGAUGAGCAUGCGUCCCAUUAGCUAGUUGGUAAGGUAACGGCUUACCAAGGCGACGAUGGGUAGGGGUCCUGAGAGGGAGAUCCCCCACACUGGUACUGAGACACGGACCAGACUCCUACGGGAGGCAGCAGUGAGGAAUAUUGGUCAAUGGGCGCAAGCCUGAACCAGCCAUGCCGCGUGCAGGAUGAAGCAUCUAUGGUGUGUAAACUGCUUUUGUACGGGAAGAAACAGAGGUUCGUGAACCUCCUUGACGGUACCGUAAGAAUAAGGAUCGGCUAACUCCGUGCCAGCAGCCGCGGUAAUACGGAGGAUCCAAGCGUUAUCCGGAAUCAUUGGGUUUAAAGGGUCCGUAGGCGGUUUGGUAAGUC
rnacentral:rRNA from 1 species